GAUGAACGCUGGCGGCGUGCUUAACACAUGCAAGUCGAACGAUGAAGCCCAGCUUGCUGGGUGGAUUAGUGGCGAACGGGUGAGUAACACGUGAGUAACCUGCCCUUAACUCUGGGAUAAGCCUGGGAAACUGGGUCUAAUACCGGAUAGGAGCGUCCACCGCAUGGUGGGUGUUGGAAAGAUUUAUCGGUUUUGGAUGGACUCGCGGCCUAUCAGCUUGUUGGUGAGGUAAUGGCUCACCAAGGCGACGACGGGUAGCCGGCCUGAGAGGGUGACCGGCCACACUGGGACUGAGACACGGCCCAGACUCCUACGGGAGGCAGCAGUGGGGAGUAUUGCACAAUGGGCGCAAGCCUGAUGCAGCGACGCCGCGUGAGGGAUGACGGCCUUCGGGUUGUAAACCUCUUUCAGUAGGGAAGAAGCGAAAGUGACGGUACCUGCAGAAGAAGCACCGGCUAACUACGUG
rnacentral:rRNA from 1 species